UUAGUAGGAGAACACCCCGUUCCGGUUAGAGCAACCAACUCAGCACCAGAACAUUAAAGAAACCGACCUCACCAGUCGGUUUUUUUAU
rnacentral:antisense_RNA from 1 species